GACGUAGGGCGCGAGCGUUGUCCGGAUUUAUUGGGCGUAAAGAGCUCGUAGGCGGCUCAUCGCGUCUGCCGUGAAAACCCGCAGCUCAACUGCGGGCUUGCGGUUGAUACGGGUGGGCUGGAGUUCGGUAGGGGAGACUGGAAUUCCUGGUGUAGCGGUGAAAUGCGCAGAUAUCAGGAGGAACACCGGUGGCGAAGGCGGGUCUCUGGGCCGAUGCUGACGCUGAGGAGCGAAAGCGUGGGGAGCGAACAGG
rnacentral:rRNA from 1 species